rnacentral:lncRNA from 1 species
GUAUUAGUGUUGAUCCUAAUUUGCAUUACAACUAACACGUCAAGGACAGGUAGAGGAAAUAAUGUCCUGCUGAUAGGUUCUGUGAUUGACCCAAUGACUAAUUGUGGUUCUAGUCGAGAGGUAGAUCAAGGCACAUCCCAUCAGCAGUUGGGAGAUGAACAGCAUGGAGGCCAUGGAUCAAAAUAGUGAAAUGGAUCAAAACUAUGGGCGUGGACAUGGAGAUUUGGAGACGUAGAAUGCCCGUGCGUUGCCACAUGCAUUUUAAAAGUCUUCCUAGUUCAUCAUGAUCAUGUUCUACGGGACAAAAAUUCCGAUGUUUAUGGAUAUAUGAUAUUCCUCAUUGCAAUUAAUAUCACUAAAUUUCUCGAUCCACCAAACUGUACAAAAGUAAAUGAAUCUGAGUUUAGUGGAAUAAGGAUCGAUCAAAUGAAUGAACAAACAAAUCGCGCACAUGUCGUUCAUUAGUUCUUCUCCGCCAGAAAAUGGAACCCAAUACGUUGUUGCUGCAAUAUUUCAUUGGUCCUCGGAACCCAUGAGCCUCCUCGCUAGUGCUAAGGAACCCUGUUUGGCCAUCACUUCCGCCGCCAGCUUCAGCAUCACCACUUACAUGUCUCCGCCAGCUCUGCCACGGUGCCAUGUCCACCAUGUUUCACUUUAUCGUACUCCCUCUGUCCCAAAAUUCUUGUCUUAGAUUUGUCUAGACAAAUCUAAGACAAGAAUUUUGGGACGGAGGGAAUACAUUACUCACGUAACAUAAGUACUAUUGUUCAAGCAUGCAUACCAGUCGUUAGAUCUAGUACAUCCAAGCAGUUGCGAUCCACCACUUUUCACAAUCCCCUCCGUCCGCCAGACGUCUCCUGCACUGCAUCAAAGACACUCACAGAUGCCCUCGUCCAAUGUAGGUUGUUGCCCCUGAGAGGCCUCCCUCACCGGCCAUAGAUCUCGCCGCAAGUCGCACCUCCCCAUGACCAAACUCCAUCAGAUAUACAAACACAUGCAGACAUGCUACACCUCGGUUAGUAUGCUAGACGUGCAUAUAGUACGCUAAAUAUUUUGUUUCUAGUAUUUUCUUAUUUCUUUUGUAAAAAUAUUUGAAGCACCAUUAGAACACAAGAUAAAAUCCAAUAUAUCAGAUAUGUUAAAAUCCAGUAAAUAAUGUCAUUAAAGUAUAUACAAAUUUGCACUUCCAAUACACUGAACGAAAAAUGUACAUACAUCAACAUUCACUACUGCUUUCAACAAUGCUAGAACAUGAUCACUUGUUCAUCUUUCAGCAGACAAUCUUUGAGACCACUGGCGACCGGGGAGCUGCUGGAGAUCGCUCCUCAACUGGCUUAGCUGUUUGUUCAUCUAAAAAAGAAAAAGGGUUACCUUUCCGUUAAUUUUAGUCUUGCAGUUACAGCCCCUCAAGUAUUUGUCACCUAUAUUUUCUCAUUUUUUCAAUACCUUGUUUCAUAAUUAUCCUAUGUAUUUUCUUGAAGAGUGCAGGCUUAUUAUACACCAAUUCCCCUCCAUCCUCGAGUUACCUGGCCACCAUAGGUCCUCUCCUCCCUCUUGCCGCUCCAUGUGCUAGCAUUGAAAAUGCCAAAUUAUAUUCUGUCAUAUGUAGUUCUGAUAAUAACACAAAUACCUAAAAGCAAAGAAGAAAACCAAAGUGAAAUUGCUGGGAAAAUGUCAAGAAAUCACACACUGCUAGAUGAAUCAUAAGAAUAUAUGUACCCCAUUAUGUCUCAAAUCAUCAUAAUAUAGUGAUAGGUGAUGUAUAGGGAGAUAAAAGUCAUUGGCAACAAUUAAUAAUCCCUACUGGUUAAAGAAAGAAAUUUUUAUGUUUAUGUGAUGUGAAGAAGAACUGAAGUCAUAUCAUCUCCUGCUGCAUAACCAACUACUGGGUAGUGCUCUCUUUUCUAAGCUUGAUUAUCACAGGUUAAUCACUUGGGUGUUAUACUGCAAAGAAUUUUUUAUGCCUACGAGCUUGAGGUCCCAUCCCUGAUGACAGUCAAAUCCACUAUUUCUUCUUAUAUCCCAUGAUCGUCGUGCAUCCUAAGUUCUGCCAUGAGGGCACUUGGUGUCGCGCCGCCAGGUAAACUGGAGGACUUGCACCACACUGGCGCGGCCCAUGUCUUCACGUCGACUGACGGAGAAGUGGUCGUUUGGGAGGUUAGCGUGUGAGCUGAAGCUUGCACUGCAAGAAAUCAAGAAAUUCCAUUUUUACAAGAAAUUUGUGAGUGGAUCCUUAGUUUUGCUUUGCAUUAGUAAUUGUUCAGCAUGUCAACAUUUCAUCUGCCGGGUUCUGAAAUUGGAUAACUACAUCAACCUUGUAAAUGUUGCCUCUUCAAUACCAGGAAUGGUGUUGUCUCCUACUCUUUUCAAAGUGCUUUGAAGUCUCUUAUCAUCAGUGAUCGUAGUAUUGUGCACUUCCUUCUUUUUCCUAUCAUCAGUGGAAGGAAAACUAAGUAUAACAAGCAGGCAAAGGUUUCAUAUUUCUGUACUCUAAGCUGAUAUGCAUAUACUAAAUGGCAUUCACUGAAAGAUCUAUUUCAAAAUGUGACAAUAGCAUGCUUGGAUGAUAAUCAGUAUGCAUAGCUUGCACACUUCAAAUUUGGCAUUUCUACACAGGGUAUAAGCAAUGGUUUACAAGGCCCACAAAUUACUGAUUAUGAGGAAAUAUUUCGGGUCUGAGACAAACUAUUUACACAGGUAAAAUGAAUACAUGUAGAACAUAUAAUGUGUUGAAAGCGGGAAAUGCUACUGCUUGCAGAAAACCCAAUGACACUACCUAUGGAUGACAGGGUACCAUAGAAAUCACAUGUGCACGCUGCCCUUGCCUCCGGCACAGGGCACCGGCCAUCUUCUUCAGCUUGUCAACACUCAUAUUACAAUAGUCAUCCAAUCUCCUAUAUGAACCAACAAAUUAGUUUUGCCUCCAUAACGAAACUUUCUGAAGUGUCCAAUGUUUCUCUUCCUCUUAAUCUUCAGUUCUAUAAAAAGCUCAUCUAUCAAUCUAUAGCAAAACAGGGGGAAAAAGGACAAUUGCAUGAUCAGAUCCAUAACGAAACUUGUUGACCUGCGCCUAAUGUUUCUCUUCGUCUUAAUCUUUAGUUCUACACAAAGUGCAUCGCCCAAUAUACAAAAAAUAGGGAAAAAAGACAAUUGAAUGAUCAGAUAAGAAUGCAGUUACAUGGGACCAGCAUAAACCCUUUGUUCUAAUGGGCUGAAAACAAUAACAGAUAAAGUACAAGUCGACAAAAUGUGAAAUCUAUCAAAAGAGCAAAUGAGAUUAUAUAGUACACUGAAACACAACGUACCAACUCAAAUUUAUAAGUGUUUAUGCACAUAGAGCAUAUUGUUGCCCACUAUAGAGAAUGAAAACAAAGAUGUACACCAAGACAUUAAAGAGUUAAAUAGAAAUAAUAUAUUGUCAAAAUGAUCCUGCAAAAUCAGUAUACAAAUUCUAGAAUUAAUCACAUAAAUACUGUAUUAGUGUUGAUCCUAAUUUGCAUUACAACUAACACAUCAAGUACAGGUAGAGGAAAUAAUGUCCUGCUGAUAGGUUCUGUGAUUGACCCAAUGACUAAUUGUGGUUCUAGUCGAGAGGUAGAUCAAGGCACAUCCCGUCAGCAGUUGGGAGAUGAACAACAUGGAGGCCAUGGAUCAAAAUAGUGAAAUGGAUCAAAACUAUGGGCGUGGACAUGGAGAUUUGGAGAUGGUGGUUCAUGUAAAAAAAACAGGAAUAUACCUCAAGGAGUGGACGGCUAGACGCCGAAAACCUUGGCGACACCCUUGGCCGUCUUGCUCAGCCCCUCCCGAUUUCCUAGGUACCUCCGAGCGCCCUCUUUCCUGUCCAUACGGUGGCGCCUAACUUGCUUCCCGGCCAU